rnacentral:rRNA from 1 species
GAUGAACGCUGGCGGCGUGCUUAACACAUGCAAGUCGAACGGAAAGGCCAGUGCUUGCACUGGUACUCGAGUGGCGAACGGGUGAGUAACACGUGGGUGAUCUGCCCUGCACUUCGGGAUAAGCCUGGGAAACUGGGUCUAAUACCGGAUAGGACAAUGGUUUGGAUGCCGUUGUGGAAAGUUUUUUCGGUGUGGGAUGAGCUCGCGGCCUAUCAGCUUGUUGGUGGGGUAAUGGCCUACCAAGGCGUCGACGGGUAGCCGGCCUGAGAGGGUGUACGGCCACAUUGGGACUGAGAGACGGCCCAGACUCCUACGGGAGGCAGCAGUGGGGAAUAUUGCACAAUGGGCGCAAGCCUGAUGCAGCGACGCCGCGGGGGGGAUGACGGCCUUCGGGUUGGAAACUCCUUUCGCUAGGGACGAAGCGUAUUUGUGACGGUACCUGGAGAAGAAGCACCGGCUAACUACGU